GAACUGAAGAGUUUGAUCAUGGCUCAGAUUGAACGCUGGCGGCAGGCCUAACACAUGCAAGUCGAGCGGAUGAAGGGAGCUUGCUCCUGGAUUCAGCGGCGGACGGGUGAGUAAUGCCUAGGAAUCUGCCUGGUAGUGGGGGAUAACGUCCGGAAACGGGCGCUAAUACCGCAUACGUCCUGAGGGAGAAAGUGGGGGAUCUUCGGACCUCACGCUAUCAGAUGAGCCUAGGUCGGAUUAGCUAGUUGGUGGGGUAAAGGCCUACCAAGGCGACGAUCCGUAACUGGUCUGAGAGGAUGAUCAGUCACACUGGAACUGAGACACGGUCCAGACUCCUACGGGAGGCAGCAGUGGGGAAUAUUGGACAAUGGGCGAAAGCCUGAUCCAGCCAUGCCGCGUGUGUGAAGAAGGUCUUCGGAUUGUAAAGCACUUUAAGUUGGGAGGAAGGGCAGUAAGUUAAUACCUU
rnacentral:rRNA from 2 species